CCCUGUUUGCUCCUAAUGAAGGCAGAGCCUGCAAUUUUUGUUACAAUCCAGCACCAACACAGUCAUCAUUUUCUUUCGUUUUGAUUUUCAUCAGAUUUCUUUCAUGGGGGAUCAGUUGCAGGUGCCUGAGCCUGGGAAGGAGCAGGUGUGAAAGAUCAGGCACAAUCUGAUGGCUGAUUUAAACCAGGAGGGUUCUGUUCAACCUCAGGUUUUUUCCACCUGUGUGAAGCCAAUUCUCCUUUCACUGUGUGUUUUGUCUCAGUUGGUUUGUGGCUCUCCACACCAUUCCAGGGGCUGAAGAUUGGAGUUCCCAGUGAACAUCUGCAUUUUCCAGCUGGAGAAGCAAGGAAUGCCAAACAGAACAGGUUCCCAGUCUCAGCUCUGCCAGGCUGUGGUGUGAUUGCAGAAAUCCCAGCCCUGCUGUGCUUGUCUGGGAAUGGAGUCACUCCCUGUUUGUUUUCAGCACAACAAACGGGAAUAAAUGUCUCUCCCACCUCUGCUCAGAGCUGGGCUGGUGUGAGAAGCAGCUGAGAAGUGAAAAAUUCCAUCAGUGAGUGCCUGUGUGCCAGGCUGGGCAGCUGCUGGAGCAGAAUCCUGGAAGCUCCGCAGUGCCUGGACACAGCUUUGGGGCAGCACCAAGGCAAGAUCACAUUUCAUUCAGCUGGAAGUGGAAGGAAAGGGUAGGAGAAAAAAAGAAGAAUAAAAUUCAGUCUCUGCGGAGCA
rnacentral:lncRNA from 1 species